AACAGCCAUCUGUGGGAUUACUUUUGGGAGCGGUGUCGGCCGUGGGCAACCCCAGCUCCCCCGAGUCCCUGCGGAGUGUUUUACACUUGUCCUUUUCCUUUCCAGACCAUAAUAGGAGCAGCAGAGGCAGCGCUGACGGGCGGCUUCGGCGACAGGCGCCGGUCUUGCAAGGCGGUCCCCGCGCAUCUCGGGCCACGGAGCUGCAACAGAACCGGGGCUCCCUGUGUGAGUACGAGGACUUAAGCUGCUGCUGCUUGGAGUGGUGUGGUUCCCCUUCUGCUGCUGCCUCGAGCUUACCUUACUGUGGACGAGUGGUCGAUUUUGUCUGCGGGAAGAUGUGCUUGUGAAUACCUCGUGUCUCCAAUUGCUGGCGGUGUCUUACUGGUGGUUUGAGGCUUUCGGGUUCCUGGGUGAAGCUGCUCUGUUCCAGCUUGAAGUCGUGUUCUGGAAUGAGAAGGUUUCUUUGCUCUGUGGAGAGAAAAAAGCAAAAA